UCUAUUUUCAGCUUGCAUCGAGAUCACCUGGAGGGCUUGUUAAAGCCCAUAUUGCCAGGCUCCACCCAGAGUUUCUGCUACUGUAAGUCCUAGAAAGGGCCUGAGACUUUGCCUUUCUAACAAGUGAUGCUGAUACUGUUGGUCCAGAAGUGCACCUAAAGAAGCCCUGCACUGAUGUAGGAUCACACUCCAUGAUGCUCUGAGAAAUGUCCUUUGUAGCCAAGGCCAAAGGCUAUGAUUGCAGAGGAAUGGUCCUUAAGAUUUUUCAAGUAUGCAUUAACAGCCCCAUUCCAAGCUAAACUGGUUCAUCAAAAACACAUUCAAACGCCCCAAGUCCUUAUUGAGACAUAUGGUGUAAUGAUCAGAUUAUUUUCUGUUGCAAAACUGACAAAUAAAACUCAUACGUCUUGAUGCAGUAUAAGUAAUUUAUUGUCUAAAGUAAUUGGGAAAUCCAAGACAGGUGGUUUCGAGGCACAGCACAAUAUGGUCCGAGAUUGCACUCGUGUCUCCUGCAACAGACGACUCUUCAAGAGGCAAAAGAGAAGACAUCUCACAGCUCAUGAUCCACCGGGAACAGAGCACUGUCUCCCGGUAUCCUCGAAUGAAAUCACACUGAAGGUCUAUGUUGGCCAUACUGGUAACGCCCAUAUUUUAGACCAAUCACUGAACAGAGUGAGCAGGCACAGGAUUGGCCAGCCCUUGGUCACAUGUUCAUAUAGUGGCUGCGAGAAAAUUGAUGGCUUUGCAUGAAGGUGCCCCUGAAGUAUAUGCAGGGGUAGUCGGCACCACGACAGGAAAACAUAGUAUCUAACAAAGAAGACUGUGUGUUGAAAUGGAGAUUAAAUGCCUGGGAUGUAGAGAGAAGAGUAUGAGUGCUGAAGACACGGAACUGAAACCAGAAGAGCAGUGGACUCCAGUUCCAGUGAUUUCAAACCUGCACAAGUCCUUACCCCAGCACCCUCGGACAAAACUCUUAUCACAAAACAGUCUUUCACUUUGUUUGGUGAUGCCCUGUUCCUGUCGCCAUGGAGCCUCCUCUUGCCUGGAAUUCUGCAUCCUGCUGCUGGCAUCCCAGAACUAGUUAACACAUAAGCCUUCAUCACAUACCACGUACUUAAUGUAUUAUUGAAGAAAUAAGUGGCAAAAAAGAAGGACCCAACUGACUGAAAUUUGGGUAUGUUAUCAGAAAUGGAACUACUGGAUCUACUUUUAACUUUUCAAGGACCCUUCAUACUGUUUUCCAUAGUAGCUGCGCCAGUCUACAGUCCUACCAAGAAUGCUCAAGAGUUACCUUUCCUCCACAUCCUCAAGGAGCUGCAGGAGACACAGGUUCAAUCUCUGGAUCGGGAAGAUCCCCUGGAGGAGGAAAUGGCAACCCACACCAGUAUUCUUGCAUGGAAAAUCCCAUAAACAGAGGAGGCUGGCAUGCUAUAGUCCAUGGGGUCGCAAAGAGUCAGACAUGACUGAGUGAGCACACACAUGGUCAAGAACAAGGACUCUGAGGGCAGAGACUACAUCUUGGUCAAUUUUUGUAAUCUUAGUACCAAGCACAGCCAUCAGGAAAUCUUUUUUAAGUGUGUGUGUGUGUGUGUUUUAUUGUGAUAAAAGUCACGUAAUAGAAACAUACUAUUUUAACCAUAUUUAACUGUUCAGUUCUGUGGCACUAAGUACAUUCACAUAAUUGUGGAACUCUCACAAUCAUCCAUCUCUCAGAUUUUUCACCUUCCUAAACUGAAACUCUGUUUCGAUUAUGAAGUAACUACCCAGUCACCCGCCCCACUUCCCCCCACCCCCUGGCAUCUACUUUCUGACUCUCUGAAUUUAACUAUUCUAGGUAUUUUGUUUAAGUGAAAUCAAACCAUAUUUAUCUGUACCUAACGUAUAUUGGACAGAGAAGGCAAUGGCACCCCACUCCAGUACUCUUGCCUGGAAAAUCCCAUGGACGGAGGAGCCUGGUGGGCUGCAGUCCAUGGGGUCGCGAAGAGUCGGACACGACUGAGCGACUUC